UACGAAGGGGGCUAGCGUUGCUCGGAAUCACUGGGCGUAAAGCGCACGUAGGCGGGUUGUUAAGUCAGGGGUGAAAUCCUGGAGCUCAACUCCAGAACUGCCUUUGAUACUGGCGAUCUUGAGUCCGGGAGAGGUGAGUGGAACUGCGAGUGUAGAGGUGAAAUUCGUAGAUAUUCGCAAGAACACCAGUGGCGAAGGCGGCUCACUGGCCCGAUACUGACGCUGAGGUGCGAAAGCGUGGGGAGCAAACAGG
rnacentral:rRNA from 1 species